GCAGGGAGGUUGAACAUCCUGCAUAGUGCUGCCAGGAAAUCCCUAUUUUAUACUAAGGGGGCUGGCUGGUUGCAUAUGUAGGAUGUCCCAUCUCCCCGCCCACUUCAUCG
rnacentral:pre_miRNA from 12 species